AUGGUAACUUUACCAACUUUAAUUCUCUGGAGUGGCGUUUUGUUGGUUAUUCUUUUUUUGUUGGUUAUUCUUUUGAGUAUAUUGUUGUUAACUUAUAUUUUUUUGAGACACAGUGUUUUUGUUAACUUGAAGUUGAAUAUUUUUUUGGAGACGCUGUUUCAUUUUUUUGGAGGGCAUUAUUCGAGUUAUUUAUCAGAAACUAGAUGCAAGUUAACUCUCUCUGUCUCGGCUAUAGUGCUCAGAAAAAGAAAAUGUUUCCAGUCUGACAUAGGUGUCAUGAUUGCCGUGUGGAUGAACUGUGCUUUCUAG
rnacentral:rRNA from 1 species